CUGACGAGUGGCGGACGGGUGAGUAAUGCUUGGGAAUCUGGCUUAUGGAGGGGGAUAACGACGGGAAACUGUCGCUAAUACCGCGUAUUAUCGGAAGAUGAAAGUGCGGGACUGAGAGGCCGCAUGCCAUAGGAUGAGCCCAAGUGGGAUUAGGUAGUUGGUGGGGUAAAUGCCUACCAAGCCUGCGAUCUCUAGCUGGUCUGAGAGGAUGACCAGCCACACUGGAACUGAGACACGGUCCAGACUCCUACGGGAGGCAGCAGUGGGGAAUAUUGCGCAAUGGGGGGAACCCUGACGCAGCCAUGCCGCGUGAAUGAAGAAGGCCUUCGGGUUGUAAAGUUCUUUCGGUAUUGAGGAAGGUUGAUGUGUUAAUAGCACAUCAAAUUGACGUUAAAUACAGAAGAAGCACCGGCUAACUCCGUGCCAGCAGCCGCGGUAAUACGGAGGGUGCGAGCGUUAAUCGGAAUAACUGGGCGUAAAGGGCACGCAGGCGGUUAUUUAAGUGAGGUGUGAAAGCCCUGGGCUUAACCUGGGAAUUGCAUUUCAGACUGGGUAACUAGAGUACUUUAGGGAGGGGUAGAAUUCCACGUGUAGCGGU
rnacentral:rRNA from 1 species